ACCUUCUCACUUCUCUCUCAAACCUCUCUUCCCUUUUCUCUGACUUUUUUUCUUUUUCACUACUCUCUCUGUUUUCAAUCUUCUUUCUCACAACUGGGGACAUCAUCUUCUUCAUCAUUUCAUUCAUCAUCAAUGGAUUGCUAUUCAUUACUCUUUACCAAGGAUUUAUCUUCUUAUUCAUCUUUCAGAUCUGAAACGGCUUCUGACUGGACCACCAGAUCUGAAAUUAAAACCACAAAAAUCAUCACCAGGCAUUGUUCUACAUCAAUGAGCCAUAACAUAUCUAUUUCCUCAAUGAGUUUUUCUCUUAACUACUUUUUCAGUAUUUGUAUGUUCUAUUUAUUCUAUUUAUUCUUUCUUCAUCAUUUUUUUUCCUUUUGUUUGCAUGUUUGAUUUUGUGGUUGAUGUUAAGGUGUGAAAGUAACUGUAGCUUGAUGGAAUUUUUGGGAAGCUGUUGCUGGUGUUUGAUGGUCUGCUUCUUCAAAAACAAGAUUUGCACAAGAAUUUAGGAGAGAGACUGUAUUUACCCUUCAAUUGAGUCUUUCCAAAGCACCAUGUCCAAUGGAACCAUUACUGCAGCAACCUACUCCUCAUUAUUUUUCUGAAUACCCUCAUCUAUGUAGUCG